rnacentral:misc_RNA from 1 species
GCUAAAAAGAGGUAAAAAAACAGCCGAAACUCUGGCUCCCACACAGUUGAGUGUAGGAAGUGUGUCCGACAGUUUGGAGACAUCGCAGGACAGCAUGGACAACGGAGAUGAUUCUGCGUCAGCUCAACUGGAAAAGAGCUCGUCCUCGUCUACCAAUGGCGCACCGAAUCCACGUAAACCUCCAAAUUGCGCGCGAUGUCGCAACCAUCAGCUGAAAAUCGCUGUAAAAGGGCACAAAAGGUACUGUAAGUAUCGUUACUGCACUUGCGACAGCUGUAAGCUCACUGCAGAUCGGCAACGGGUGAUGGCGAGACAAACUGCGCUGAGAAGAGCCCUGGCACUUGACGAGCGGAGAGUCAGAACAGAUGAUGAGCAGGUGGAUCCACUGCCAUUCGGGGCGGAAGAUCGACUUCCUUCGGUCCUUCAACCAGCUAGAAGUCUCGAGGGUAGUUAUGAUAGCAGCAGUGGUGACUCUCCUAUCAGCAAUCAUGGCAAUAACAGCGUGCACAACAACCUAAAUGUCAUCACCGUAUCUACUUCCAGAAAAUUACCGUCGAUGCACCCUCACACUGGUUCGACCACCCAUUUACCGCAGUCGCAGAACGGCGACAGUGUGGAAAUUCUGCUGGAGUAUAGUACCAAACUUCUAGACCUCUUCCAAUAUCCUUGGGAAAUGCUACCAUUGAUGUACGUCAUUUUGAAAGACGCUGGAGCUAACCUCGAAGAGGCUGUAAGGCGCAUAAUGGAAGCCAGCAAUGACAUUCGUACAAUGCACUUUUGGAAAGCGGUGAGAAUGGUGCAAUCAGGUCGGUCGUAUUGUUGCACGGGAUACACAUCUACAGGAGCACCUACUUACGAGGGGCAGGUACCCUAUAUAGGAGUUGCACCACCUCCGAGUGCUAUGCACCUCAGGCCGAUUUUGCAUCCUUUGAAUGCUAAUAUUCCGCCCGCCAGAGUACCGCCCAGCCCUGAUAGUCCUCCAGAACAUUCUACUACGUAGCCAUGCCCAACACGACGUUCGAAACUCCGACAAGAUCUUGAAGUACGUAUUGCACGAAUCUUCGUGUUCCUUACCUUGGCGUGUCAAGUGCUUAUUGGAGUGAAUUUCUGAACGGUCAAGCCGCAACAACCGAUUCUCGCUGUUGGGUACAAAGUAUACACAUAUAGGCACUACAAGAGAACUCCGUGCAGGUACAAGUAUGGUAUAUAACUAAAGUUGCCGAUGGGCGUGAAUGGUUUGAUUCCGGGCCAUGGGAGAACGAACCUGAGUUACCUACUUCGGGUUAGCACGCUAUUCAGUCGACGAAAGUUCGCGAAAAAUGGCGCGUAUCCAUCGUAAUGGAGGGCAAGUGUCGCAACGAUAUUCUCCAGCGUCCGUGGGACAAGUUAAUCGUGCACCUUGAAAACCAAAGAGGUUAUUUGGUUGCAACUCGGAGAUUACUAGUUUCUGCAUAUUGCCAGUCUCGAACCGGUAUUAUCCGAAAUCACUGGAUUUAAACAACCGUGUUCCAGUACGGAUGCUGCAACUUGGGGAGUAUUGUGGUGAGACGGGAAUGAUGCUUCAUGAAUCGAAAAUAUUCGAUCUAAUUUUAUCGUAAGAGGCUUCGUUUAUAAAAACAUUCAAUUUUAAAAGAAAGUAAUAGAGAUGUUAACAAAGUUUUAA